UUGGGGUACCCUCAUGGACCCCAGUUUGAGAAACACUGUCAUAACAUAUAAGCAUGGUUGGGCUUGGCCAGUACUCUCAUCGGGAGACCUCCAGGGAAAAAGUCCCAGU
rnacentral:rRNA from 1 species